GAUGAACGCUGGCGGCAUGCCUAAUACAUGCAAGUCGAACGAGGGUCCUUCGGGACUCGAGUGGCGAACGGGUGAGUAACACGUAGGGAACCUGCCCGUGCGACCGGGAGAACUUUCGGAAACGGAAGCUGAUACCGGAUAGGGACAGAGACGGCAUCGACUCUGUGUUAAAGGAGCUGCAAGGCUCCGCGCACGGAUGGACCUGCGGUGCAUUAGCUGGUUGGUGAGGUAACGGCCCACCAAGGCGACGAUGCAUAGCCGGCCUGAGAGGGCGGACGGCCACACUGGGACUGAGACACGGCCCAG
rnacentral:rRNA from 1 species